rnacentral:sRNA from 2 species
GAGACUGGUGGCUAGGGUUCCGACGCUUUUUGCGUGUCUGGUCCGAGAGCUGCCACCGGCGGGCGCCACAGUCCGCCGGACGCACGGCGGGACAAAAGCCCGGGAGAC